rnacentral:rRNA from 1 species
UACGUAGGGGGCGAGCGUUGUCCGGAAUCAUUGGGCGUAAAGCGCGUGUAGGCGGCCCGGUAAGUCCGCUGUGAAAGUCCAGGGCUCAACCCUGGGAUGCCGGUGGAUACUGUCGGGCUCGAGUCCGGAAGAGGCGAGUGGAAUUCCUGGUGUAGCGGUGAAAUGCGCAGAUAUCAGGAGGAACACCAAUGGCGAAGGCAGCUCGCUGGGACGUGACUGACGCUGAGACGCGAAAGCGU